rnacentral:rRNA from 1 species
GCAACAGCUAGAGUUUGAUCCUGGCUCAGAGUGAACGCUGGCGGCGUGCCUAAUACAUGCAAGUCGAACGGAGAUUAAGAGGGCUUGCUCUUUUAAUCUUAGUGGCGCACGGGUGAGUAAUGUAUAGUUAAUCUGCCCUACACUGGAGGACAACAGUUAGAAAUGACUGCUAAUACUCCAUACUCCUUCUUAACACAAGUUAAGCAGGGAAAGUUUUUCGGUGUAGGAUGAGACUAUAUUGUAUCAGCUAGUUGGUGAGGUAAUGGCUCACCAAGGCUUUGACGCAUAACUGGUCUGAGAGGAUGAUCAGUCACACUGGAACUGAGACACGGUCCAGACUCCUACGGGAGGCAGCAGUAGGGAAUAUUGCUCAAUGGGGGAAACCCUGAAGCAGCAACGCCGCGUGGAGGAUGACACUUUUCGGAGCGUAAACUCCUUUUGUUGGGGAAGAACAAUGACGGUACCCAACGAAUAAGCACCGGCUAACUCCGUGCC